AUGAUGGCGGCCGACCUCCACCGCAGCUUCUUCCUCGCGCCGUCGCCGCACCACCUCGCCGAGCUCCGCAUCGAUCCCCAGCACUCGGCGGUCACCUUUUCCGCGCCAGGCGGCGUCGCCGGGCCCGGGGGACGCAAGCGCCGCUGCCUCCUCCCGCCCGUUUCGCCGCGCAAGAAGUUGCUGGUCGAGCUCCACCCCUUCGACUCCUCGCCCUCCCCCUCACAGCCGCCUUCGCCGCGCCUCUCCCCGAGCACCGCGCCGCCUUUGCUGUCGCGCACGGGGUCCCCCGCCGGUGACUUCUCAUUCCCGUCGGUGCGUCCGUGUAUCGGUGGUAGCGGCGGCGGCAAUGGGGGCAACAUCUUCGCGUUCUUGGAGGACACGCCCAGCACGCCGUCUCCGACGGGCUCCGGUGUCAGCGCCCUAUCGUUCUUGGCUCCACCGGGGCAGCCGACAACGCCCACGGGCGGCACCUUGAGCGGCGGGCUCACGUUCAUGGAUUCGCCACAGAAGCCGACGGCGGGCCCCACUGCCAACGGUGGAUUCAUGUUCUCGGCUUCGCCGGAGCAGCCGCUCACGCCAGCGAGCUCUCCUGCCGGCGGCGGCCUCGCGUCCUUGUCUACCGAGCCGUCCCUGUCGCCCAGGGAAUACCACGGCGGGUGCGCCGUGGCGUCCUUCCCUUCCCCGAAGCACGCGCGCACGGGCUCCACCGAUAGCGGUGGCUUGGCUUUCUUCCCUUCGCCGGGGCCCCCCAUCGGGCACGCAAGUUCUCCGACAUCCCCGUCGUUUGUCUUCUCGGCAUCGAAGAUUUUGGCGCCGCUCGUGCGCAAGUCUGGCGGCGGCAGGAAGAAGAGGCCGCGGCGACAACAAGGCAUCGUGAGCACGCUCCGCGGGAGCCAGCAGGCCAUUGAGCCGCCGCAGAAGGUUGUCAAGACGUACGCCUCGGUCACCGCCGGCGAGACCUCCCGCUCCUCCAUCCAGUCCGGGUCAUCGGCCAGGCCGUGCUGCACGUUCUUCACCUCGCCGGCGAAGGCCACUCCCGCGAAUGGCGAGACAUCCCGCUCCUCUGGCAAGCAGGAGGCCAGGAAGGCCUGCAGUGAGGCGUCCAGCUCGACUUCGCCAUGCGGGUCGGGCUCCACGUUCGUCCCAGCGCCGGCGAAGCAUUCGUCAGCUGGGAAGGCGAGCAAGCAGCAUCGGGAGGUGGAAGUAUCCAGCGUUGCCACACCAGCCGCGCCAGCAGCAGCCUGCACCGGCGCCGAAGUGGUGGUGCGCGUGACCUGCGCUUGUGGUGUCCACAAGGAGUUCUGCUUUGACCACCGCCACUGA
rnacentral:rRNA from 1 species